GUGGAUGUGCGUGACAUUUGGUGCUGAAAACCUGGGACAGGAGGACUCCUUUGGGAGACCAGCCCCCUGUCCUCGCCCUCACUCCAUGAGGAGAUCCACCUACGACCUUGGGUCCUCAGACCAGCCAGCCCAAGGAACAUCUCACCAAUUUCAAAUCGGAUCUCCUUGGCUCAACAGCUGAAGACUGACGCUGCCCAAUCGCUUUGGAAGCUCCGGGACUAUCACGGACCCCGAGCUUCGAGUAACUCUUACAGUGGAGGGUAGCACCGGUCAAAGACUUCUUGUGUGGUAAACACUUAGGAUAAAGUGCACAGGCGAUUGCUUGAAAAAACUAUGACACAAGUAUCAUCUUUGUCUUCCAAUACCAGAAUGACAAUGAACCUUCCUGUACUUGAAAAUAAUUAAUCAACUCCCCAGAAAGACAAAGGAUGAACACCUUUAUAAUCCUGACCAAAAAGGAAAGGAAGGAAGGAAGGAAGGAGAGAGAGAGAGAGAGAGAGAAAGAGAGA